rnacentral:lncRNA from 1 species
UAUUUAUAUUUAACAUAUUAAAUAUUUUAAAUAAUGAUUUUGAAUUUAUUUUUAAAUACUUAUAUUUUCUCAGCCCACCUACCUGUCUGAGCUGCUUUACACCUACUUAUGAGCGGUCACAUGAAGGUCAACUUGAGAAAUUACCCCAGACUUUAUCAAUCAAUAGCUAAGAGUGUGUUUACAUGAAAGAGGCAGAGUUCCCAUGUUUAUAAUUCUGACCAAUCAGAAACAGACACAGGUCUAUUGUCAGCAGAGCCGCUGAUUUUCUGAAGAUGAUUAAACAUGUCAGAGGUUAGACACAGACUAAGCAGCAGCUAUAACAGAAGGGUACAUAUUACUAAUCUGUUUUCUGUUUGAGUGUGUGUGUGUGUGUGUGUGUGUGUGUGUGUGUGUGUGUGUGUGUGUGUGUUUAGCUCAUACAGAAAUCAAAGUGAAGCCUGGACAAGAGGCCACCUUUCACUGUGCGUGUCCAGAGCUGCAGCCAUCACCCUGCUGGAGUGGAGCAGACACGGCCUCGAUUCUUUGUUCUAUCGUAACUCGUUUCAAAGAUACCAGCCUGAGUCCUUUGGAGACCGAGUGGAGUUGAAGGAUGGAGACCUCACUUUGAUUCUGAAGAACGUCACCAUCAACGAUAACGGCACGUACAAGUGUCGGAUUGUGUUCAGGAACAAAAACAGCACAGAGAGACUGUUCAGGGGCAUUAAGUGCUUCAUCAACCUCACAGUGACGGCCUCGGGUUUCACAGAUGAAGACACAAAUAGUGGAGGAGACAAGGGUGGAGGAGAUUGGGAUUGGACUCUUUUAUUAAUAGUUUUUCUGUCAGUUUGGGCUGUGUUUGUUGUUCCUGCUGUUUCUGCUGUCGUCAUAAUUACCUGCAAGGAACAAAAGCCGUUAUAG